GAUGAACGCUGGCGGCGUGCCUAAUACAUGCAAGUCGAGCGAACAGAUGAGGAGCUUGCUCCUCUGACGUUAGCGGCGGACGGGUGAGUAACACGUGGAUACCCUCCCUAUCAGACUGGGAAAACUUCGGGACACCGGAGCUAAUACCGGAUAAUAUAUUGAACCGCAUGGUUCAAUAGUGAAAGACGGUUUUGCUGUCUCUUAUCGAUGGAUCCGCGCCGCAUUAGCUAGUUGGUAAGGUAACGGCUUACCAAGGCGACGAUGCGUAGCCGACAUGAGAGGGUGAUCAGCCACACUGGAACGGAGACACGGUCCAGACUCCUACGGGAGGCAGCAGUAGGGAAUCUUCCGCAAUGGGCGAGAGACUGACGGAGCAACGCCGCGGGAGUGAGGAGGGUCGUCGGAUCGGAAAACUCUGUUAUUAGGGAAGAACAAAUGUGUAAGUAACUAGGCACGUCUGGACGGUACCUAAUCAGAGAACCACGGCUAACUUCGUG
rnacentral:rRNA from 1 species